CAGUAGCCGCGGUAAUACGUAUGUCACAAGCGUCAUCCGGAUUUAUUGGGCGUAAAGCGCGUCUAGGUGGUUAUGUAAGUCUGAUGUGAAAAUGCAGGGCUCAACUCUGUAUUGCGUUGGAAACUGUGUAACUAGAGUACUGGAGAGGUAAGCGGAACUACAAGUGUAGAGGUGAAAUUCGUAGAUAUUUGUAGAAAUGCCGAUGGGGAAGCCAGCUUACUGGACAGAUACUGACGCUAAAGCGCGAAAGCGUGGGUAGCAAACAGGAUUAGAUACCCCGGUAGUCCCUGUCUCUUAUACA
rnacentral:rRNA from 1 species